rnacentral:lncRNA from 1 species
UCUAAUGGAAGGAGCAAACCCAUUGAGUGCAGAUACCACUUCUUGCGUGAUCUUGUUAAGGGAUGAUAUAUUUAUAGACUUGGUGUUCUAUAAAGAGUGGAGAUCAGAUUGCAGGACAUAUUGGACUAGCCCCUCAAGCCUGUUAUGAUUCUGAAGCUUAGAAGACUGAUUGGAGUAAUGUUCAAAGACGGAUGUUGAAGCUUCAUGUAAUUGAUGUCCUAAUGUAAGGUUUCAUUUUUUUUUUCAUUGCAAAUUUAUAAAUUUAAUUAGGCCACAAUGUGGAUUAGUGGACCUACGUUUUUUUUUUUUGGUUAUUGGGCACAUUGGAGAAAGAUUUGGACUUAAUGUAAUUGAAGUUGGGCUAUAGUGAAUUUGGGUUUAAUAUUGGAUCCAAAAUUAGAAAUUAAUUUGGUGUAAACCAACAAAGCCUUAGAGCUCCUCCGUUGGGAUCCCUUACCGUUUGAAUUUCCCCCCAAGUACACUUAUCCCCACAUCUUCUUUCCCCAACAUCAUCAUCCCAGCAGCAAUCAUUAUGUUUUCGUUUCUUGUCUCUUUCUUUUUUUUAAUCACAGUCUUUCCUCUCUUGUCUAUACGACUCUCCUCUCUCCGUCUCUCUCCUCCCUACUCUCCCCUCUACCUCGCUCCGGUCCUCUCCUCCGACUUCCCCCUCUCCCGCCCCCCCCCGAGUUGCCCCCUCACUCGCGGGGCGCCUUCGGCAGAUUGUUCCCCUACUCUCUCUCUCUCUCUCCCCCCCCGAAAUCCUUCUCCUUCUCUCACGAAGUUCUGUCUCUUUCCCUCUGUGUGUCUGAGCCAUAAAGGAAAAAAAAUUGUUUUUAGAGUGUUAGAUCGGGGUGAGUAGAGUGAAUUCAAGUGUGAUUAUUUGGAGAGAAAUUAUCUACUCAACGGGGGCUUCAUAACUAGCCACUAAUAUCAUAGAUCUGAGUAUUUUGGAUUCAUCUCAUCUCUUCUUUUGGAGCUGCUUGUAUUUAAUUGGAGGUAAAGGGGUUAGUUUUUUUUUGGGGUUUUUUACUUUGGUUUGGUUGUUAAUACUUAUAUCAAUCUCAUUUGAGGCAUUAUUUUGAGUAUUAAACUUAAAACAUAAAACUUGAUUUAUAAUAAAAAAUGGAAACAGUGUUCACGUUGUUGGAUUUAUAUUGGGUUUGUGUUAAUGAUUACGAUUUUUGUAUAUUUCUGUUAUUUACAUUAAGCUGUUAGCAGUGUAAUUUUAUGUAUGUUGGAUCUUGAAAAUGGGGGUUUUUGCGAGGACACGCAGGAUUACCAGAAUUAGAUGGCUUAGAUUUAAGCUGAAUGAAGUCCCUUAGAUGCAAAAAAUAUAACAACCCCCGCGCGGAGGAAUGGUCGACCCUUCGGUUAGUGACCGAGAAUGCGGCCGGAUAUUUGGUAUGUCAAACCUCGGUUAAGUCCGAUAAUAGGCCGAAUAUUGCGUACUGUCAAAACCUCCUUCGGUGAAACCCGAGAAGUAGGCCUGAUAUUGGGAUGUCAAACCUGUUAAAGUCCGAGGAAGUAGGCCGGAGAGUAUUAGCUAGUGUGUCCAUUCUAAUUAUUGGAGUAAUAUUUUCUGAGAAAAAUCAGAAUUUUGAGAAGCCUUGUUGAUUUUAAGAAAUUACAACUUUGGAAAUGUUGUAUUUUAUAUUGUUUUCAAAGUAAUUAAAAUGUUGCUUUUUGAGAAAGCUGAGAAUUGAGAAUUGGAAGAUUGAUUAGAGAAACCACGGAUUGAAACGCAAAAGUAUAUUUUGGGUAUAAAUAAGCUAUUUUAUUAAAUCAUGUCUUCAAUUGUAUGAUUAAAUGUAUUCAGGAUUUUUUGGCUUGAAGGCGAUCAAGUCCUGGUUAAAUCUUUUCAAGGUACUCACCUUUACUAUAAAAAUUAUUUCAGGUACCGAGAUUUAUCCUGAUUCGUGAUGCAUUUGGAUGCCGUUUGUUAUUUUUAUAAAUGUUUAAUUCAUUAAAAUUGGUAGAAUAUUUUUUGGCCCGAUGUGGGUAAAGAUUUAUUAACUAAAUUUUAUGCUUUGAGGUUUUUUUUUUGAUUGUUAGAAAUUAUAUUUAACAUCAUUAUUAUAAUUUGGGUUUAAAUUGGAACAUGUACAAACUUUUGAGAUAAGUAAAAAGACAUUUAAGUUAGAGGGGUUAAAUGUAUUUUAUUUAAUAAUGGAUGAUUGUGUCUGACACAAUCAUUAUUUAACUUAAUAUUUAAUUUUUUAUAAAUAAUACUAUAAAAUAAAGAAAGAGACAAGGUUUAUAUAAAGAAUAAAGAAAAUCCCAUUAUCUAUAUAUAUCUAAAAGAGAAAGAGAUUAUAUGGGGUAAUUAGCCUUGAUCAUAAGAUUGAAGACGUGGAAUCUACCGUGAGAUGAUUUACCGAUUUAAAAAAAAAAAAAAAAAAAAAAAAAAAAAAAAAAAAAAAAAAAAAAGUUUAAAAAAUUAAAAAAAAAAAAAACAAAAAAAAAAAAAAAAUCAAAUUUCAGUAUAUUUUUCAUGGAUUAU